GAUGAACGCUGGCGGCAUGCCUAAGACAUGCAAGUCGAACGAAGUGGCCCAUAGAUUAUGGAGUGCUUGCACAAAAUAUGAAAUGGAUUCCCACUUAGUGGCGCAAGGGUGAGUAACACGUGGGUGAUCUACCUUUGGGACUGGGAUAACAGUUAGAAAUGAUUGCUAAUACCGGAUGAUAUAUAGAAUGAUACGUUGUUCUAUAGUAAAAGAGGCCUUUAAAGCCUCACCUAAAGAUGAGCCUGCGGCGUAUUAGCUAGUUGGUGGGGUAAAGGCCUACCAAGGCAACGAUGCGUAGCCGACCUGAGAGGGUGAUCGGCCACACUGGGACUGAGACACGGCCCAG
rnacentral:rRNA from 1 species